CCAAUAGCGUAUAUUAAAGUUGUUGCAGUUAAAAAGCUCGUAGUUGAAUUUCGGGAUUGACGUGACGGUCAUGCCUUAAGGGGUAUGAACUGUUACAGUUGAUUUCUCACCUUCUGGAGAAACUUGAUGUCCUUUAUUGGGUGUCUUGCGGAUCCAGGACCUUUACCUUGAAAAAAUUAGAGUGUUUAAAGCAGGCAUUUUUGCUCGAAUACAUUAGCACGGAAUAAUAGAAUAGGACGGCAUGGUUCUAUUUUGUUGGUUUCUAGGAUCACCGUAAUGAUUAAUAGGGAUAGUUGGGGGCAUUAGUAUUCAAUUGUCAGAGGUGAAAUUCUUGGAUUUAUUGAAGACUAACUACUGCGAAAGCAUUUGCCAAGGAUGUUUUCAUUAAUCAAGAACGAAAGUUAGGGGAUCGAAGACGAUCAGAUACCGUCGUAGUCUUAACCAUAAACUAUGCCGACUAGGAAUCAGACGAUGUUAAUUUUUUAAUGACUCGUUUGGCACCUUACG
rnacentral:rRNA from 1 species